UACGUAGGGGGCUAGCGUUGUCCGGAUUUAUUGGGCGUAAAGAGCGUGUAGGCGGCCAGGUAGGUCUGGUGUGAAAACUCGAGGCUUAACCUCGAGAUGUCAUCGGAAACCAUUUGGCUAGAGUCCGGAAGAGGAGAGUGGAAUUCCUGGUGUAGCGGUGAAAUGCGCAGAUAUCAGGAAGAACACCAAUGGCGAAAGCAGCUUUCUGGGACGGUACUGACGCUGAGACGCGAAAGCGUGGGGAGCGAACAGG
rnacentral:rRNA from 1 species